AACGAACGCUGGCGGCGUGCUUAACACAUGCAAGUCGAGCGGGGAAAGUUUCCUUCGGGAAGCGAGUACAGCGGCAGACGGGUGAGUACAACGUAGGUAACCUACCCUCGAGACCGGGAUAACCUGUCGAAAGACGGGCUAAUACCGGAUAAGACCACAAGGGCUGCGGCCUUUGAGGUAAAAGAUGGCCUCUGCUUGCAGGCUAUCACUUGGGGAUGGGCCUGCGCGCCAUUAGCUAGNGGUGAGGUAACGGCUCACCAAGGCAAAGAUGGCUAGCUGGUCUGAGAGGAUGGCCAGCCACACUGGGACUGAGACACGGCCCAGACUCCUACGGGAGGCAGCAGUGGGGAAUAUUGCGCAAUGGGCGAAAGCCUGACGCAGCGACGCCGCG
rnacentral:rRNA from 1 species